rnacentral:rRNA from 1 species
AGAGGUCCUGCCUGCCCUGUGACCAUGAGUUUAACGGCCGCGGUAUUUUGACCGUGCAAAGGUAGCGUAAUCACUUGUCUUUUAAAUGAAGACCUGUAUGAAUGGCACGACGAGGGCUUAACUGUCUCCUUUUUCCAGUCAAUGAAAUUGAUCUUCCCGUGCAGAAGCGGGAAUAUACACAUAAGACGAGAAGACCCUAUGGAGCUUUAGACACCAAGGCAGCCCAUGUCAAACACCCCCCUCUAAGGGACUGAACUAAUUGUGACCCUGCCUUAAUGUCUUUGGUUGGGGCGACCACGGGGAAACACAAAACCCCCAUGUGGACCGGGAAGACUUUUUUCCCACAACUAAGAGUUACAGCUCUAAUUAACAGAACUUCUGACCAGAAAUGAUCCGGCAACGCCGAUCAACGGACCGAGUUACCCUAGGGAUAACAGCGCAAUCCCCUCUUAGAGCCCAUAUCGACGAGGGGGUUUACGACCUCGAUGUUGGAUCAGGACAUCCUAAUGGUGCAGCCGCUAUUAAGGGUUCGUUUGUUCAACGAU